GAUGCCCUGGCAGUCAGAGGCGAUGAAGGACGUGCUAAUCUGCGAUAAGCGUCGGUAAGGUGAUAUGAACCGUUAUAACCGGCGAUUUCCGAAUGGGGAAACCCAGUGUGAUUCGUCACACUAUCAUUAACUGAAUCCAUAGGUUAAUGAGGCGAACCGGGGGAACUGAAACAUCUAAGUACCCCGAGGAAAAGAAAUCAACCGAGAUUCCCCCAGUAGCGGCGAGCGAACGGGGAGGAGCCCAGAGCCUGAAUCAGUGUGUGUGUUAGUGGAAGCGUCUGGAAAGGCGCGCGAUACAGGGUGACAGCCCCGUACACAAAAAUGCACAUGCUGUGAGCUCGAUGAGUAGGGCGGGACACGUGGUAUCCUGUCUGAAUAUGGGGGGACCAUCCUCCAAGGCUAAAUACUCCUGACUGACCGAUAGUGAACCAGUACCGUGAGGGAAAGGCGAAAAGAACCCCGGCGAGGGGAGUGAAAAAGAACCUGAAACCGUGUACGUACAAGCAGUGGGAGCACGCUUAGGCGUGUGACUGCGUACCUUUUGUAUAAUGGGUCAGCGACUUAUAUUCUGUAGCAAGGUUAACCGAAUAGGGGAGCCGAAGGGAAACCGAGUCUUAACUGGGCGUUAAGUUGCAGGGUAUAGACCCGAAACCCGGUGAUCUAGCCAUGGGCAGGUUGAAGGUUGGGUAACACUAACUGGAGGACCGAACCGACUAAUGUUGAAAAAUUAGCGGAUGACUUGUGGCUGGGGGUGAAAGGCCAAUCAAACCGGGAGAUAGCUGGUUCUCCCCGAAAGCUAUUUAGGUAGCGCCUCGUGAAUUCAUCUCCGGGGGUAGAGCACUGUUUCGGCAAGGGGGUCAUCCCGACUUACCAACCCGAUGCAAACUGCGAAUACCGGAGAAUGUUAUCACGGGAGACACACGGCGGGUGCUAACGUCCGUCGUGAAGAGGGAAACAACCCAGACCGCCAGCUAAGGUCCCAAAGUCAUGGUUAAGUGGGAAACGAUGUGGGAAGGCCCAGACAGCCAGGAUGUUGGCUUAGAAGCAGCCAUCAUUUAAAGAAAGCGUAAUAGCUCACUGGUCGAGUCGGCCUGCGCGGAAGAUGUAACGGGGCUAAACCAUG
rnacentral:rRNA from 1 species